UACGUAGGGUGCGAGCGUUAAUCGGAUUUACUGGGCGUAAAGCGUGCGCAGGCUGUUCUGUAAGUCAGAUGUGAAAUCCCCGAGCUCAACUUGGGAACUGCGUUUGAAACUACAGGACUAGAAUAUGUCAGAGGGGGGUAGAAUUCCACGUGUAGCAGUGAAAUGCGUAGAGAUGUGGAGGAAUACCAAUGGCGAAGGCAGCCCCCUGGGAUAAUAUUGACGCUCAUGCACGAAAGCGUGGGGAGCAAACAGG
rnacentral:rRNA from 1 species